rnacentral:lncRNA from 1 species
GCACCUUGACUUUUUUAUUCUUUUGCUGUCAGUAUUUUAUGGUGGUUAUUAUUAUGAUGGUGAUGCUGAUAGCUGUAUGCAUAUGUACAAAUAAAUACAUUUUCAAAUGAUGGCAGUGGAAGGUUUUCCUGGAGAAUGAAGUGCGGUUCGGUUUCCUUGUCAACGGAAGAUGAAGUGAACAACUGAACAUCUCCCCAGUGCAGUUGCUCACAGGGUGCAUCCUUGGACAAGUCACUUAGAUGCCGAUCCUGAAAGGUUUUCAAGGCUUCCAUUAAUUCCAAAGACAUCUUUAAAGGAACAGCAACAACAGAAAAGUAAUACAUAAUAGAACAGGCCUGGGAAGUCUUCCUUUUAUUUCAGGUAAUGACCUUAAAAUAAAACCAUCAUAAGAAUAUCUAAGGUAAGAGACAGAAAAAAAAUCUGGAACCUGAAAACUACUGGAAGUGAAAUUGUUUCUUAGUAGCUACCAGUUCCAUGAAUGAAACCACAACAAUAUAAGAACAAGCUAGCUGGGUGAAUGUAAGCACUCAAUAUUU